AGGACGAACGCUGGCGGCGUGCCUAACACAUGCAAGUCGAACGGACUGAUUCCUUCGGGAAUGAAAGUUAGUGGCGGACGGGUGAGUAACGCGUGAGCAACCUGCCUUUCAGAGGGGAAUAACGUUUGGAAACAGACGCUAAUACCGCAUAACGCAUAGGUGUCGCAUGGCAUUUAUGCCAAAGGAGCAAUCCGCUGAAAGAUGGGCUCGCGUCCGAUUAGAUAGUUGGCGGGGUAACGGCCCACCAAGUCGACGAUCGGUAGCCGGACUGAGAGGUUGAACGGCCACAUUGGGACUGAGACACGGCCCAGACUCCUACGGGAGGCAGCAGUGGGGGAUAUUGCACAAUGGGCGAAAGCCUGAAUGCAGCAACGCCGCGUGAGGGAAGACGGUUUUCGGAUUGUAAACCUCUGUCUUUGGUGACGAAUAAAUGACGGUAGCCGAGGAGGAAGCCACGGCUAACUACGUGCCAGCCGCAGC
rnacentral:rRNA from 1 species